CUAUUUAUCGAGAGGGGGGUGAGGGGGAAGCGGAGGAGAAUUGUCGUGAGCUGUUAAGCAGAAUAGGCUAGUAGUAACCUGAAGAGUCAUGUGCAUGCUAAACAAUUUUGAUAGUAACAUGUUUAUUUCUGUCUUUCAAAUUACCAAAGUGACUCCUUUCACCCUGGCGAAGAAGGCUGGACUUCCUAAAGAGAAGGUGGAGGAAAUCCACAGAAAAGUUACAAAAUUUGUGGUGAUGGGACUCCAUUCCUUUUCGACAGUGGAAUCACCAUCUUUCAGGUGAAAAUGCGGGCUAUGAUAUCCAAAUACAAUUUCCUUGAUGCAUAAGGCCACACCUCUGUACCAUGAAGAUAUCAUGUGUACAAGACUAAUAUCAUAUGUAUUUUUUUUAUAUAUAAAAGGGAGAUGACCACUAACCUGACUUUCGCCAGAUCCUGUAGUUCGCUGUCUGCUUCACACAAGGAUCUGGGACUUCUCGAUAGGAGAUGUAUUUCUGAAGGCGGGUCCUUGUAAAACAUCCUCGCAUGUGAUUCGAUAAACCACUUGCCUGUUAUCUUGAAUGAUGUGCUAGGCUUCUUCAAGCUCUUGCCAAACCCGGUCGGUAGAAGAGUAAAAACAUCCUUGCCACCAAUAAAUGUCUUCAAAACUAUUCUCUGUUAAUCUUUUAAAGAAUGAAUACUCGAUAGAUUCGACAAAACGGUUGAAAUAGCAGAAUCAAUGUCAGCACAAGACUCCUCGCUGCGUGCCGCCAUUGUUAUUUGAAUCAAACACUCGCUUCGGCGCUCCUGAUUGGUUGCUUAUUUUUUGAUCACUGGCCCAGGGGUUUGGAUUGCCCUCGCGUCCAGACCCUUGUGUGGAGCUCAGCGAAAUGCCUCUGGUGGAGCAUGGCGGAACUACAAGGGUCUGGCGAGAGUCAGGCUAGAUGACCACUGCCCUGAAUCCGAAAUAUCAACCACCAUCCAGGGAUGACAUUUCAAAUACCUUAAUUAUUAAUACCUGCAUGGUAUAAUGUCAUCAAGCAGAAUGUCAUUCAGCAGCUGGCACAGGUCAGCAAAAUAGCCAUUACAUGCGAUGGAUGGACCAGUGUGGCGCAGGACCACUAUCUAACAGUGACGUCCAUUACAUCCACAAGGGCAGCAUCCAGCAAAAAGUGCUAAGCACCGAAGUGGUCUAUGAGGCCCAGACAGGGCUAGUGGUGGCAGAGGAAAUCAAGAGUAUUUUUGAGGACUUCCAGUUGACUGGAAAAGUCAUUGCUGCCACAGCUGGACAAUGCGAGCAAUAUGGAUGUUGCCCUGAGAAACUUACCGUUUUUAAAAGUUGGAUGCUUUGCGCAUACACUGAACUUGGCAGCACAGAAGGUCUAUGGCAUCCAAACUGUGACCAGGUGGUGUGCAAAGAUCCGCGCAGUGGUGGUGUGGCUGAAGCGCUCCACCAUGAGCAAAACUGUCCUGAGAGAGAAGCAGCGACUCCUCAGUAAAUAGAAUACAUAUAAUUCUAAAUACAUCUUUAAAAGUAAUACAUGAUUUAAAUAUUAACAGUUGUUUAUUGUAAUUCAAAUGCCUGUGCUUUAGAUUUGCCAGAGCAUAAUGUUAUCCUGGACGUGAGGAGUCGCUGGAAUUCUCUCUACCUCAUGGUGGAGCGGUUUGUGGAGCGGUUCCCUGCAAUCCAGGCAGCUUGCCUCGAUCAAAGGCUAAGAAGGCCAAUGGAGAGGGACAGAUGAGACUAGAGAGGCUCACAGAGAGUGAUUUUGAAAAGGCAGAGGAAUUCAUGCAAUGCAUGAAAGUCUUGUACACUUCAACCCUCUGUGUGUCAAGUGACAAGUCCCCCACAUGCAGCCAAAUCAUCCCAAUCCUCACAAAGCUGGAGGCACAUUAUUCAGCCGCCGAUGAGGACAAUCCCUUUGUGACUGCUAUAAAAGAGAAGGUCUGGGGAGAUCUUGAAAAAAGAUACCAGGAUCAGGACAUUCAAAACUUCCUUCAGGAGACCACAUUGAGGGAGUUGGUGUUGCAGAAGCUUGGGAUAGGCUUGAGAAAGCAGUGAUUGACCGUGUCACAGCAGCUCAGCUUCCUACAGAGUAGGACCCUCAUCAGAGUGAGGCAGAAGUUGAAGGUGAUGGUGAUGAGGUGGAGGAGGACCAAGCGAACAGACAUCCAAGAGGAGCUCACAGGAUGUCAGCCUUGGAGCAGUUAUUUACGGAUGAAGACCGGGAACUUCUCCACACAACUAUGAGCACAAGUAGUGCCCUCUCCAUCACGGAGCAGGUCCAGAAGGAGAUAGAGCUCUACAAAGGCAUGCCAGCCAUCCCAUCAGGACAAGACCCUGUGGCUUGGUGGUGGGGUAAGAGGGAUACCCUCCCCAAUUUGUCUGCCUUGUCAGAGGUAUACUUGUGCGUGCAGGCCUCAUCAACCCCCUCGGGGAGGGUUUUCUCCUGUGCUGGACAUGCAAUUAGUCAGGAAAGAUGCCGUAUACUGCCAGAGAAGGCCAAUAUGCUGAUAUUCCUGCAGAAGAAUUGCUAAAAACUGUUAUUUACAUGUGCAAUACUGCUGUGCAAUAUUUUGUUCCAUAUCCAUAUGUGUGUUUUAUAUUUAUAUCUAUUUUAAUAUUUAAGGUGUCACACUGUUCAGGUCACUAGGAAGAGAAAAUGGAGAUCUGGUAGUAAUCUUUGUUAAUCUCCAGUAUAUUGUACAGUUCUAUUGUUUGAUACAAUAAUGUUCUAUUUGAUGUUAUGUAUAAUUAUAUUGGCUUAUUUAUAUUUAUUAUCAUUGUUCCUUGUAUUUAUAUUGUUAAAGACUUACUGUAAGUUAAUAUUUUGUUCAAAUUGGCCCUCGAAAUAAAAGGGU